UUGUUCUACAGGACUACUUUCAAGAGAAUCACGGCAAGGAGAUUCUUUCAUAGGACUGGGUUCCAAAGAAUCAGGCGUUUUAUGUGAGGAGUUAUCUUCUAGAACUGGGCUUGCUUCCAGUGAGUCUUUAUGACUUACAGCCACAGAGUCAUCUGCAACUGGGCUAAAGCUUUCACUAUCAUGGCUAGCAAGUGAAAGUUCCAAUUUUUGGGGACUUCUAACCACAACACGGCGUUCACAGUGUGUAUCAACAAAUGGACAAGAGAAUGGAAGGAUGAGCAUUCAUACAAGCAAAAUAGCAAUAGCAGGAUCACUAGGGAUGUCAAAGGAAAGUACCUGGCAGACACAUUUGUUGUGAAGGAAACACAUUCAUUAACAAACGUCAAUGGUGUUGUUCCAGUGAUGUCUUCCCAUUGGGCAGGGGUGGUUCCUCCUGAAAUGACAGUGAUUUUUAAAAGAACGAAAAACAGGCAAGUCUGUUGGACAUC